rnacentral:rRNA from 1 species
CCUACGGGUGGCAGCAGUGAGGGAUAUUGGUCAAUGGGUGAAACCCUGAACCAGCAACGCCGCGUGAGGGAAGACGGUUUUAGGAUUGUCAACCUCUGUCCUCUGUUAGGAUGAUGAAGGUAGCAGAGGAGGAAGCUCCGGCUAACUACGUGCAAGCAGCCGCGGUAAUACGUAGGUAGCCUGCGUUGUCCGGAUUUACUGGGUGGAAAGGGUGCGUAGGCGGCUUUGCAAGUCAGAAGUGAAAUCCAUGGGCUUAACCCAUGAACUGAUUUUGAAACUGCAGAGCUUGAGUGGAGUAGAGGUAGGCGGAAUUCCCGGUGUAGCGGUGAAAUGCGUAGAGAUCGGGAGGAACACCAGUGGCGAAGGAGGCCUGCUGGGCUCUAACUGACGCUGAGGCACGAAAGCGUGGGUAGCAAACAGGAUUAGAUACCCCAGUAGUC